CGCACUGUAAACGAUGAUUACUCGUUGCUGGAAGGUAACUUUCAGUGACCAAGCGAAAGCGAUAAGUAAUCCACCUGGGGAGUACGCCGGCAACGGUGAAACUCAAAGGAAUUGACGGGGGCCCGCACAAGCGGAGGAGCAUGUGGUUUAAUUCGAUGAUACGCGAGGAACCUUACCAGGGCUUGAAAGUUAGUGACCGAUUCUGAAAGGAGUCUUUCCGCAAGGACACGAAACUAGGUGC
rnacentral:rRNA from 1 species